rnacentral:misc_RNA from 1 species
GCAAACUUGGUCAUUUAGAGGAAGUAAAAGUCGUAACAAGGUUUCCGUAGGUGAACCUGCGGAAGGAUCAUUAGUGAAUGAACGCCGACCCCUCGUGGGAAGGCAAACCCCUUCACAUCCAAUCACCCCGGCGUUCGGACCUCUGGUCUGUCGCCGUUUUCACACACACAAGUCUUUAGAAUGUAAUCAGUGAAGCCCGCUUGCGGGUUGAACAAAUAAAACUUUCAACAACGGAUCUCUUGGUUCUCGCAUCGAUGAAGAACGCAGC